CGAUGUGGGAAGGCCCAGACAGCCAGGAUGUUGGCUUAGAAGCAGCCAUCAUUUAAAGAAAGCGUAAUAGCUCACUGGUCGAGUCGGCCUGCGCGGAAGAUGUAACGGGGCUAAACCAUGCACCGAAGCUGCGGCAGCGACACUGUGUGUUGUUGGGUAGGGGAGCGUUCUGUAAGCCUGUGAAGGUGUGUCGUGAGGCAUGCUGGAGGUAUCAGAAGUGCGAAUGCUGACAUAAGUAACGAUAAAGCGGGUGAAAAGCCCGCUCGCCGGAAGACCAAGGGUUCCUGUCCAACGUUAAUCGGGGCAGGGUGAGUCGACCCCUAAGGCGAGGCCGAAAGGCGUAGUCGAUGGGAAACGGGUUAAUAUUCCCGUACUUGGUGUUACUGCGAAGGGGGGACGGAGAAGGCUAUGUUGGCCGGGCGACGGUUGUCCCGGUUUAAGCGUGUAGGUGUGUGUUCCAGGUAAAUCCGGUUCACUUUAACACUGAGGCGUGACGACGAGGCACUACGGUGCUGAAGCAACAAAUGCCCUGCUUCCAGGAAAAGCCUCUAAGCAUCAGGUAACAUCAAAUCGUACCCCAAACCGACACAGGUGGUCAGGUAGAGAAUACCAAGGCGCUUGAGAGAACUCGGGUGAAGGAACUAGGCAAAAUGGUGCCGUAACUUCGGGAGAAGGCACGCUGACACGUAGGUGAAGUGAUUUACUCAUGGAGCUGAA
rnacentral:rRNA from 1 species